GACAGAGGGUGCAAACGUUGUUCGGAAUUACUGGGCGUAAAGCGUGUGUAGGCGGCCACGUAAGUCGGAUGUGAAAGCCCCAGGCUCAACCUGGGAAGUGCACUCGAUACUGCGUGGCUUGAGUACCGGAGAGGUUGGUGGAAUUCUCGGUGUAGAGGUGAAAUUCGUAGAUAUCGAGAGGAACACCGAUGGCGAAGGCGGCCAACUGGACGGAUACUGACGCUGAGACACGAAAGCGUGGGGAGCAAACAGG
rnacentral:rRNA from 1 species